GACGAACGCUGGCGGCGUGCCUAAUACAUGCAAGUAGAACGCUGAAGGAGGAGCUUGCUUCUCUGGAUGAGUUGCGAACGGGUGAGUAACGCGUAGGUAACCUGCCUGGUAGCGGGGGAUAACUAUUGGAAACGAUAGCUAAUACCGCAUAAUAGUAGAUGUUGCAUGACAUUUGCUUAAAAGGUGCAAUUUCAUCACUACCAGAUGGACCUGCGUUGUAUUAGCUAGUUGGUGGGGUAACGGCUCACCAAGGCGACGAUACAUAGCCGACCUGAGAGGGUGAUCGGCCACACUGGGACUGAGACACGGCCCAGACUCCUACGGGAGGCAGCAGUAGGGAAUCUUCGGCAAUGGACGGAAGUCUGACCGAGCAACGCCGCGUGAGUGAAGAAGGUUUUCGGAUCGUAAAGCUCUGUUGUAAGAGAAGAACGAGUGUGAGAGUGGAAAGUUCACACUGUGACGGUAUCUUACCAGAAAGGGACGGCUAACUACGUG
rnacentral:rRNA from 1 species